ACUCCUACGGGAGGCAGCAGUGGGGAAUAUUGCACAAUGGGGGGAAACCCUGAUGCAGCCAUGCCGCGUGUGUGAAGAAGGCCUUCGGGUUGUAAAGCACUUUCAGUAGGGAGGAAGGUAGUGUAGUUACACCUGCAUUAUUGACGUUACCUACAGAAGAAGCACCGGCUAACUCCGUGCCAGCAGCCGCGGUAAUACGGAGGGUGCGAGCGUUAAUCGGAAUUACUGGGCGUAAAGCGCAUGCAGGCGGCCUGUUAAGUCAGAUGUGAAAGCCCGGGGCUUAACCUCGGAAUUGCAUUUGAAACUGGCAGGCUAGAGUCUUGUAGAGGGGGGUAGAAUUUCAGGUGUAGCGGUGAAAUGCGUAGAGAUCUGAAGGAAUACCAGUGGCGAAGGCGGCCCCCUGGACAAAGACUGACGCUCAGAUGCGAAAGCGUGGGGAGCAAACAGGAUUAGAUACCCUGGUAGACAU
rnacentral:rRNA from 1 species